rnacentral:misc_RNA from 1 species
UCCGGUUUGUCACCGGCAGUCUCAUUAGAGUGCUCUUUCGUAGCAACUAAUGACAAGGGUUGCGCUCGUUGCGGGACUUAACCCAACAUCUCACGACACGAGCUGACGACAGCCAUGCAGCACCUGUGUACAAGUUCUCUUUCGAGCACCCCCUGAUCUCUCAAGGGUUCUUGCCAUGUCAAGGGUAGGUAAGGUUUUUCGCGUUGCAUCGAAUUAAUCCACAUAAUCCACCGCUUGUGCGGGUCCCCGUCAAUUCCUUUGAGUUUUAACCUUGCGGCCGUACUCCCCAGGCGGUCGACUUCACGCGUUAGCUUCGUUACUGAGAGUGUCAAACCCCCAACAACCAGUCGACAUCGUUUAGGGCGUGGACUAC